rnacentral:rRNA from 1 species
AAGGGAAACCGAGUCUUAACCGGGCGUUAAGUUGCAGGGUAUAGACCCGAAACCCGGUGAUCUAGCCAUGGGCAGGUUGAAGGUUGGGUAACACUAACUGGAGGACCGAACCGACUAAUGUUGAAAAAUUAGCGGAUGACCUGUGGCUGGGGGUGAAAGGCCAAUCAAACCGGGAGAUAGCUGGUUCUCCCCGAAAGCUAUUUAGGUAGCGCCUCGUGAAUUCAUCUCCGGGGGUAGAGCACUGUUUCGGCUAGGGGGCCAUCCCGGCUUACCAACCCGAUGCAAACUGCGAAUACCGGAGAAUGUUAUCACGGGAGACACACGGCGGGUGCUAACGUCCGUCGUGAAGAGGGAAACAACCCAGACCGCCAGCUAAGGUCCCAAAGUCAUGGUUAAGUGGGAAACGAUGUGGGAAGGCCCAGACAGCCAGGAUGUUGGCUUAGAAGCAGCCAUCAUUUAAAGAAAGCGUAAUAGCUCACUGGUCGAGUCGGCCUGCGCGGAAGAUGUAACGGGGCUAAACCAUGCACCGAAGCUGCGGCAGCGACGCUGAUGCGUUGUUGGGUAGGGGAGCGUUCUGUAAGCCUGCGAAGGUGUGUCGUGAGGCAUGCUGGAGGUAUCAGAAGUGCGAAUGCUGACAUAAGUAACGAUAAAGCGGGUGAAAAGCCCGCUCGCCGGAAGACCAAGGGUUCCUGUCCAACGUUAAUCGGGGCAGGGUGAGUCGACCCCUAAGGCGAGGCCGAAAGGCGUAGUCGAUGGGAAACGGGUUAAUAUUCCCGUACUUGGUGUUACUGCGAAGGGGGGACGGAGAAGGCUAUGUUGGCCGGGCGACGGUUGUCCCGGUUUAAGCGUGUAGGUGUGUGUUCCAGGUAAAUCCGGUUCACUUUAACACUGAGGCGUGAUGACGAGGCACUACGGUGCUGAAGCAACAAAUGCCCUGCUUCCAGGAAAAGCCUCUAAGCAUCAGGUAACAUCAAAUCGUACCCCAAACCGACACAGGUGGUCAGGUAGAGAAUACCAAGGCGCUUGAGAGAACUCGGGUGAAGGAACUAGGCAAAAUGGUGCCGUAACUUCGGGAGAAGGCACGCUGACACGUAGGUGAAGUGAUUUACUCAUGGAGCUGAAGUCAGUCGAAGAUACCAGCUGGCUGCAACUGUUUAUUAAAAACACAGCACUGUGCAAACACGAAAGUGGACGUAUACGGUGUGACGCCUGCCCGGUGCCGGAAGGUUAAUUGAUGGGGUCAGCGCAAGCGAAGCUCCUGAUCGAAGCCCCGGUAAACGGCGGCCGUAACUAUAACGGUCCUAAGGUAGCGAAAUUCCUUGUCGGGUAAGUUCCGACCUGCACGAAUGGCGUAAUGAUGGCCAGGCUGUCUCCACCCGAGACUCAGUGAAAUUGAACUCGCUGUGAAGAUGCAGUGUACCCGCGGCAAGACGGAAAGACCCCGUGAACCUUUACUAUAGCUUGACACUGAACAUUGAGCCUUGAUGUGUAGGAUAGGUGGGAGGCUUUGAAGUGUG